UGGGGAAUUUUGGACAAUGGGCGAAAGCCUGAUCCAGCAAUGCCGCGUGCAGGAUGAAGGCCCUCGGGUUGUAAACUGCUUUUGUACGGAACGAAAAGCCUGGGGCUAAUAUCCCCGGGUCAUGACGGUACCGUAAGAAUAAGCACCGGCUAACUACGUGCCAGCAGCCGCGGUAAUACGUAGGGUGCAAGCGUUAAUCGGAAUUACUGGGCGUAAAGCGUGCGCAGGCGGUUUUGUAAGACAGUGGUGAAAUCCCCGGGCUCAACCUGGGAACUGCCAUUGUGACUGCAAGGCUAGAGUGCGGCAGAGGGGGAUGGAAUUCCGCGUGUAGCAGUGAAAUGCGUAGAUAUGCGGAGGAACACCGAUGGCGAAGGCAAUCCCCUGGGCCUGCACUGACGCUCAUGCACGAAAGCGUGGGGAGCAAACAGGAUUAGAUACCCUGGUAGUCCACGCCCUAAACGAUGUCAACUGGUUGUUGGGUCUUAACUGACUCAGUAACGAAGCUAACGCGUGAAGUUGACCGCCUGGG
rnacentral:rRNA from 1 species